rnacentral:rRNA from 1 species
UACGGGGGGGGCUAGCGUUGUUCGGAAUUACUGGGCGUAAAGGGCGCGUAGGCGGUCUGCUAAGUUGGAUGUGGAAACUCUGGGCUUAACCCAGAGCCUGCAUUCAAUACUGACAGGCUAGAGUUCUGGAGGGGAUAGCGGAAUUCCUGGUGUAGCGGUGAAAUGCGUAGAUAUCAGGAGGAACACCGGUGGCGAAGGCGGCUAUCUGGACAGAAACUGACGCUGAGGCGCGAAAGCUAGGGGAGCAAACAGG